AUGUCGCGGGCCGGGGCGCGGAGGCGGGAACCUGGGUCGGCCAGGGCCGGGGCUGGCGCAGCCGGAGCCGAUCGGAGACCGGGUUGCUGGGGUCGGGGGGGCGCGAAGCAGGGCGCAGGAAACUCAAGAGGGUGCUCGGAGCAGAGGGCACGGCAUGGGUCAAGGGGCGACGGCGAGGAUGCCUGGGAGCCGCGGCUCAAGAUGGCGGCGGCGGCGGCGGAGGCGGUGCACCACAUCCACCUGCAGAACUUCUCGCGGUCCCUGCUCGAGACCCUCAACGGGCAGCGACUGGGCGGGCACUUCUGUGACGUGACGGUCCGCAUCAGAGAGGCCUCGCUGCGCGCCCACCGCUGCGUGCUGGCCGCCGGCUCGCCCUUCUUCCAGGACAAGCUGCUGCUCGGCCACUCGGAGAUCCGCGUGCCGCCGGUGGUGCCCGCGCAGACGGUGCGCCAGCUCGUCGAGUUCCUCUACAGCGGCUCGCUGGUGGUGGCGCAGGGCGAGGCGCUGCAGGUGCUCACCGCCGCGUCGGUGCUGCGCAUCCAGACGGUCAUAGACGAGUGCACGCAGAUCAUCGCCCGCGCCCGCGCGCCCGCGCCGGGCGCCCCCGCGCCCCCGCUCGCGCCGGUGCCGCCGCCGCUGGCGCCCGCGCAGCUGCGCCACCGCUUGCGGCACCUGCUGGCGGCGCGGCCCCCGGGCCCCCCCGGCGCCGCGCACCCGCGCAAGCAGCGCCAGCCGGCGCGCCUGCAGCUGCCCGCGCCCCCCGCGCCCGCCAAGGCGGAGGGCGCGGCCUCCGAGCCCGCGCUGACUGCGGACGACGGCGUGGACGACGACGACGACGAGGCCGACGACGAGACCGACGGCGAGGACGGAGGCCCCGGGGAGGUCCAGGCGCCCCCCGCCUUCCCCGACUGCGCCGCGGGCUUCCUGCCCGCCGCGGCGGACGGCACGCGGGAGGAGCCAUCCGUGCCCCCCGGCCUCCCGGAUUACAGCGGGCCCGGCAGGGACUUCCUCCGGGGAACCUCGGCCGCCGAGGACGUGUUCCCCGACGGCUACGUCUCCGCCUGGCAAGAGGGCGAUCAGGCCGCCCCCGAAGGCUGUCCGGCCGAGACCCCUGCCCCUCCCGAUUGCGUCCUGUCGGGGCCCCGCCCACCUGGCGUGAAGACCCCCGGGCCGCCCGUGGCGCUUUUCCCCUUCCACCUGGGGGCCCCCGGGCCGCCGGCGCAACCCCCUCCCGCGCCCUCGGGGCCGGCCCCCGCGCCCCCGCCCGCCUUCUACCCAGCGCUGCAGCCGGACGCAGCUCCCAGCGCGCCACUAGGAGAGGCCCCGGCCCCAGCGGCCGCGCCCCCCGCGGCCCCCUCGACCACUCCCGCGCGCGCCCCGGGCGCCGAGCCGCCCGCCUACGAGUGCAGCCACUGCCACAAGACGUUCAGCUCUCGGAAAAACUACACCAAGCACAUGUUCAUCCACUCGGAGCUCCGGGCAAACCUGGAGGAGGUCCUGCCCAAGCUGCAGGCGGAGAAGGUGCACUGCCUCUACCUGGGCCAAAGCUCCCCCACGCCCGGGGUGGGGGCCCUGGGUGCCGCCCUGGCCGCAGCCCCCUCAGACCCCGUGCCCGCUGACCUGCGGGCGGACAUCAAGUUGCGAAGCCCAGCCCUGUUCAUCUAUACCUCGGGGACCACUGGGCUCCCCAAGCCUGCCAUCCUCACCUACGAGCGGGUGCUGCAGGUAUCAGGGAUGCUGACUUUGUGUGGGGUCACAACUGAUGACGUGGUCUACACGGUCCUGCCUUUGUACCACACCAUGGGGCUUGUCCUUGGAGUCCUCAGUUGCCUGGACCUUGGGGUGACCUGUGUCCUGGCCCCCAAGUUCUCUGCCUCUGGCUUCUGGGACGACUGUCGGCAGCACGGUGUGACUGUGAUCCAGUACGUGGGCGAGAUCCUGCGGUACCUGUGCAACACACCCCAGCGGCCAGAGGACUGGACACACAAAGUCCGCCUGGCGAUUGGCAGUGGACUCCGGGCAGAAGUGUGGGAGACCUUCCAGCGGCGCUUUGGCCCCAUUCGGAUCUGGGAAAUGUACGGCUCCACCGAGGGCAACGUCGGCUUCAUCAACUACCCAGGGCGCUGUGGGGCCCAGGGCAAGACCAGCUGCUUCCUCCGAAUGCUGUCCCCCUUUGAGCUGGUGCAGUACAGCCUGGAGACAGAGGAGCCUCUGAGGGACAGUCAGGGCCUCUGCAUCCCUGCGAGGCCAGGGGAGGCAGGCCUGCUGCUGACCCAGGUGUUGCGUCACCAACCCUUCCUGGGCUACCGCGGGCCCCGGGAGCUGUCAGAAAAGAAGCUGGUGAAGAACGUGCGGCGCCCGAACGACCUUUACUACAACACCGGGGACGUGCUGGCCAUGGACCACGAAGGCUUCCUCUACUUCCACGACCGCCUUGGGGACACCUUCCGGUGGAAGGGUGAGAAUGUGUCCACGCGGGAGGUGGAGGGCGUGCUGUCAGUCGUGGACUUCCUGCAGGAGGUGAACGUGUACGGUGUGCCUGUCCCAGGGUGUGAGGGCAAGGUGGGCAUGGCCGCCGUGCAGCUGGUGCCCGGCCAGGCCUUCGACGGGCAGAGGCUGUACCAGCACGUGCGCACUUCGCUCCCGGCCUACGCCGCUCCCCAUUUCAUUCGUAUCCAGGACGCCUUGGAGAUCACAGGCACGUUCAAACUGGUGAAGUCCCGGUUGGUGCGCGAGGGCUUCAACGUGAGCGUCGUCGCUGAUCCUCUGUUCGUCCUGGACAGCCAGGCCCGAGCCUUCCGGCCCUUGACUCCAGAUAUAUACCGGGCAGUGUGUGAGGGAGCCUGGAGACUCUGACCUCCCAGCAGCUCACAGGACAUCCGAAGGCACGCCACCCAACGCUGGCCCCCGCCUCCACUUGUCCCCUCACCCACUCCCCAGACCCAACGAGCCUGGCCUUAUCCCCAGCUUCACAGGCUGGGGUGACCCUGGCCCGCACCAGAGCGAGAAUAAACCCGGAUGUGUAC
rnacentral:lncRNA from 1 species